rnacentral:lncRNA from 1 species
CUCCUGGGCUCUUUCACCUUUCGUGAACUGAGCCCCCUUCUGAAGUAAGGCAUGGGCACCCCGAAUGGAAAUGGCUGGAUUAAUGCGCAUGCAUGUCCACACUGGUGCAGGGCACCUGCUUUUCUGGGACAAUUGCCAUCUGGAAUCAGACGCCUUCCUCAUUGUGUGCCUAUUUCUGGACAAAGAAAAGGAGAACUGGAUGAGAAGCAGGCCUCCUCUCCCACAUCCUCCAGCCGCCUGGCAGGCCCAACUAAGACACCCGCUCCAGCUCAGGUGGUUUACGUGGCUCUAAUGAAGUCCUCCUGGAUUUAGGGUGGGUCCUAAAUCCAGUGACUGGCGUCCUUAUAAGAAGACCACAUGAAGCCACAGGGAGGCAUGGAGAGGACACCAUGUGACCAUGGAGACAGAGCCUGGAGUGCAGCAUCUAGGACCCAAAGAGAGCCAAGGAAUCCUGGCACCACCGGAAGCCAGGAGAGAGCUGGAACAUUCUCCCAGAGCUUCCGGAAGGAACCUAGCCUGCCCACACCUUGAUUUUGGACUUCUGGCCUUCAGAACUCUGGGAGAAGAGCUUCUGCUGCUUGCAGAUACCCAGUUUGUGGUCAUUUGUUAAAGCAGUCCCAGGACACGAAGCCACAGCGUAGCCACAGGCUUGGGCUGGGUUCCAGGGCAGCCCUGACUCCCUCCUCACUUUACCUUGUAUCACAGCAAAGCCCACAGCCAGGAAAAGAGGGUCAAACUGCAACGGCUCUCACUUCUGAGCAUCCUAACGAAAGCCAAAGACAGCACUGUUUACCUAAAUCGGACAGCCCACAGAAUCUUCCAGUCUGAAAUAAGAAAUGGCACGCGUUUUAGCCAUGGGAAUUACAGGGUAGGGCAGAUCCUUCCCCUUAACUAGUCAGUGGUUGAAAUUUCUUUUGCAGCAGAAAUUUUAAGUGGUAGCUUGAAUGUUUAAUGUUUGCAACAUUAGAAUGCCCUAGUCUCCACUUACUGAUUUAAAGAGUAACAGAAAUCUUUACAGGAACAGCAGCAGGAUGGCUGAUUCCCAAGAGCAGCUUCCUGACACCCCCGCCCCAGCACCCCUGGGUCCAGUCACCAUUCAGAUACAUCUCUCGAUGGGCUGCAAGGAAAAGAACAGUGUCAGAGGACAAGGCCGGUUUACAUACAACUAACUGAAGCCCUUUGAUGAGCUCCCCUCUCAUCUCCAAUCUAACCCAUCUCUGCAAAUAAAAGCUAUCACCAUCG